AAACUGAAGAGUUUGAUCAUGGCUCAGAUUGAACGCUGGCGGCAGGCUUAACACAUGCAAGUCGAACGAUGACUAACUAGCUUGCUAGUUAUGAUUAGUGGCGGACGGGUGAGUAACAUUUAGGAAUCUGCCUAGUAGUGGGGGAUAGCUCGGGGAAACUCGAAUUAAUACCGCAUACGACCUACGGGUGAAAGGGGGCGCAAGCUCUUGCUAUUAGAUGAGCCUAAAUCAGAUUAGCUAGUUGGUGGGGUAAAGGCCCACCAAGGCGACGAUCUGUAACUGGUCUGAGAGGAUGAUCAGUCACACCGGAACUGAGACACGGUCCGGACUCCUACGGGAGGCAGCAGUGGGGAAUAUUGGACAAUGGGGGCAACCCUGAUCCAGCCAUGCCGCGUGUGUGAAGAAGGCCUUUUGGUUGUAAAGCACUUUAAGCAGGGAGGAGAGGCUAAUGGUUAAUACCCAUUAGAUUAGACGUUACCUGCAGAAUAAGCACCGGCUAACUCUGUGCCAGCAGCCGCGGUAAUACAGAGGGUGCGAGCGUUAAUCGGAAUUACUGGGCGUAAAGCGAGUGUAGGUGGCUCAUUAAGUCACAUGUGAAAUCCCCGGGCUUAACCUGGGAACUGCAUGUGAUACUGGUGGUGCUAGAAUAUGUGAGAGGGAAGUAGAAUUCCAGGUGUAGCGGUGAAAUGCGUAGAGAUCUGGAGGAAUACCGAUGGCGAAGGCAGCUUCCUGGCAUAAUAUUGACACUGAGAUUCGAAAGCGUGGGUAGCAAACAGGAUUAGAUACCCUGGUAGUCCACGCCGUAAACGAUGUCUACUAGCCGUUGGGGUCCUUGAGACUUUAGUGGCGCAGUUAACGCGAUAAGUAGACCGCCUGGGGAGUACGGCCGCAAGGUUAAAACUCAAAUGAAUUGACGGGGGCCCGCACAAGCGGUGGAGCAUGUGGUUUAAUUCGAUGCAACGCGAAGAACCUUACCUGGUCUUGACAUAGUGAGAAUCCUGCAGAGAUGCGGGAGUGCCUUCGGGAAUUCACAUACAGGUGCUGCAUGGCUGUCGUCAGCUCGUGUCGUGAGAUGUUGGGUUAAGUCCCGCAACGAGCGCAACCCUUUUCCUUAUUUGCCAGCGGGUUAAGCCGGGAACUUUAAGGAUACUGCCAGUGACAAACUGGAGGAAGGCGGGGACGACGUCAAGUCAUCAUGGCCCUUACGACCAGGGCUACACACGUGCUACAAUGGUAGGUACAGAGGGUUGCUACACAGCGAUGUGAUGCUAAUCUCAAAAAGCCUAUCGUAGUCCGGAUUGGAGUCUGCAACUCGACUCCAUGAAGUCGGAAUCGCUAGUAAUCGCAGAUCAGAAUGCUGCGGUGAAUACGUUCCCGGGCCUUGUACACACCGCCCGUCACACCAUGGGAGUCUAUUGCACCAGAAGUAGGUAGCCUAACGUAAGAGGGCGCUUACCACGGUGUGGUCGAUGACUGGGGUGAAGUCGUAACAAGGUAGCCGUAGGGGAACCUGCGGCUGGAUCACCUCCUUA
rnacentral:rRNA from 1 species